UCAGCUCCUGGAUAACUACAAGAAAGGGAACCUCCACAUCAUUCCAGACACUCCUCUGGCUGAGGAGAGAUCAGGAGAUGACAGUGAUGUGUUGAUAGACCCAGGAGAUGAACAUAUGCCUGAGAAGAAGAACUAGUGUGGAACUGUCAGCCAGGUUUUUGAUGAGUGCUCAGACUGCUUCCUGAUCCGGCACCACAUUUACUAUAGUGGACAGAUGCUCUAGUCUCUGAUGAGGAGUUGCUAGCUGUUAGGAAAAACCUGGAAUGGGCUCCACUGCAUGAGGUUUGAAGUCUCCAGAGCAGCAAAGAGAGUGGGGAGUAGAAC
rnacentral:lncRNA from 1 species